rnacentral:rRNA from 1 species
AAGAAACCAACAGGGAUUGCCCCAGUAACGGCGAGUGAAGCGGCAAGAGCUCAAAUUUGAAAUCUGGCCUCCUUCGGGGGUCCGAGUUGUAAUUUGUAGAGGAUGCUUCGGGUGUGGCCGCCGUCUAAGUUCCUUGGAACAGGACGUCAGAGAGGGUGAGAAUCCCGUCUUGGGCGGCUGGUCCGCGCCCGUGUGAAGCUCCUUCGACGAGUCGAGUUGUUUGGGAAUGCAGCUCUAAGCGGGUGGUAAAUUUCAUCUAAAGCUAAAUACUGGUCGGAGACCGAUAGCGCACAAGUAGAGUGAUCGAAAGGUUAAAAGCACCUUGAAAAGGGAGUUAAACAGCACGUGAAAUUGUUGAAAGGGAAGCGCUUGCGGCCAGACUCGGGGGCGGGGUUCAGCGGGUGCUCGUCGCCCGUGCACUCCCCGUCUCCCGGGCCAGCAUCAGUUUCGACGGCCGGUCAAAGGCCCCCGGAAUGUGUCGUCUCUCGGGACGUCUUAUAGCCGGGGGUGCAAUGCGGCCCGUUGGGACUGAGGAACGC